rnacentral:rRNA from 1 species
GACAGAGGAUGUAAGCGUUAUCCGGAAUCACUGGGCGUAAAGCGCACGUAGGCGGACUCUUAAGUCGGGGGUGAAAUCCUGGAGCUCAACUCCAGAACUGCCUUCGAUACUGGGAGUCUUGAGUUCGGGAGAGGUGAGUGGAACUGCGAGUGUAGAGGUGAAAUUCGUAGAUAUUCGCAAGAACACCAGUGGCGAAGGCGGCUCACUGGCCCGAUACUGACGCUGAGGUGCGAAAGCGUGGGGAGCAAACAGG